GGUCAGUGAUGAGAUGUAAAAGGUCCGAAGCCUUGCCUCCUUUCAGUCCCUCCCAUUCGCCACUCUUAACACCCUUCCCAGCAUGCUCUAGUCAUGCAUCGCCGGGCAAAGGUGGCGGCUGAUAUUAUGGACGUUUCUGCUGCAUUUAUAGUCUUAGAGUCGAGAAUAAUAAGACGUCGACAGCAGCGUCCGACAGGAACUGGACACGCGAGGAGGGCCGGACUCCAGGAGAGCGUUUGACGGGCUUAUGAUCUCAAGUUUUCAAGCUGAGACC